rnacentral:misc_RNA from 1 species
AUUUUUUGUGGUGAUUAGUCAAACAAGUUUCUCAGGAUUUUUUAACACAUCUUGAAUACUCUGAAUAGUACAUUUGUAAUUUUCAGUUCAUAUAAUAACGAAAGCAAAAUUUCCAUUGAUGAGCAUAAUGCAGAAGCACAGUCGAAGUUGCCAAUCAAAGAAAAUACUGGCGUCUCUUUAUCGAUGUGAGGAAGGGUUUUUUGAACUGACUAUUUAGCUCAGUGCACUGCAAUACGAUAUGAAUGGGGAGCAAUCAAGACUAGAAGUCUCCAAUUAUACUCGAGCGAUACACAGUGAAUGACCAUGCAGCUAGAUGAUCUGUAAGACCAUGAUAAGAAUUAAGACUGCUCGAUCCUAGUGACAAACCAUAGAUUGCGGCUAGAUGGUUUUUGCAUGAUAUAGGAUCAAUGGAUGUUACUGGCAUGAAUUUAGUUUAUACAUCUUUAGGUGUGUCAGCUGAGUAACUCUUAGCAAAUGUUGCAAAUCGUUCCAACCCUUGUGUCAGCAGGUUUUCAGUAAAUGGUUUCAAUGCUGAUGCCACUGGAACCAACAGUUGAGGCACUUCAUACGAAAAUGUAAGCUCUAUGAUGCAGGAUGAUGGGCCUUUGGGGAAAAACCGCACAGCUCCCCUGUUAGGAAGUCCCUCCAGAGAUCUCCAGUGGAUCUUCUGAUUUGGCGUAGGCUGCAUAUUUCGAGCGAGCCAUGAAUAUUCAAUGUUCUGACCGAAAGCUUGAUACUUCAGCGACCAUCUUGAUAAGUCAGGCUUAUCCUCCAAAAUCUGGCAAGAGAGUCUAACAUCAAGUUCCCUCGGAAUGAAAUUAAGUUGGUGAGAUGAGCUGUGUAAUGGAUG